UCGGGGUCAGGGCCGCGCUGCCACCUCUCCGAGACUGACUCCGGGGGCUGCAACUCUCCGGGUCUCAGUCUCCACAAUUGUGAAAUGGCAUUUAGGCCCCUUGUAGCUGUAAGCCCACAACUCAGAAAGACCCAGCAGCAGCAGCCGCAGAAUGCACUUCAGAAGGGUCAAACAGCAAAAUCACCUGAUGGCCCUUCCAGGGCUUCUGAUAAGGAAGGCAUUCCCCAGGAGACAGCACAGCAUGGAAGCCGAGAGCCAUUCUCCGAGAGAAAAGGGGCCCGCGUGCGGGGGAAGAGCAGAUUCUUCAUUAAGGGUUCCCACCUUGAGGAUAUCACAGGACAGUCAAAAUAAACUAGUAUUAUCAUC